rnacentral:tRNA from 1 species
GGGCGCAUAGCUCAGUUGGUAGAGCAGCUGACNNCUCUUAAUCAGCGGGUCCCAGGUUCGAGCCCUGGUGCGCCCA